rfam:Lysinibacillus sphaericus OT4b.31 genomic scaffold Ls31_scaffold1, whole genome shotgun sequence.
AUCUUAUCAAGAGAAGCUGAGGGAUUUGGCCCUAUGACGCUUCAGCAACCUCUAACUUCGUUAGAAAGGUGCUACUUCCAGCAAAGGAUUCUUCCUUUGAGAGAUAAGAG